rnacentral:rRNA from 1 species
AAUAGAUACCCUGGUAGUCCACGCCGUAAACGAUGAGUGCUAAGUGUUAGGGGGUUUCCGCCCCUUAGUGCUGCAGCUAACGCAUUAAGCACUCCGCCUGGGGAGUACGGUCGCAAGACUGAAACUCAAAGGAAUUGACGGGGGCCCGCACAAGCGGUGGAGCAUGUGGUUUAAUUCGAAGCAACGCGAAGAACCUUACCAGGUCUUGACAUCCCAUUGACCACUAUGGAGACAUAGUUUUCCCUUCGGGGACAACGGUGACAGGUGGUGCAUGGUUGUCGUCAGCUCGUGUCGUGAGAUGUUGGGUUAAGUCCCGCAACGAGCGCAACCCUUGUUCUUAGUUGCCAUCAUUUAGUUGGGCACUCUAAGGAGACUGCCGGUGACAAACCGGAGGAAGGUGGGGAUGACGUCAAAUCAUCAUGCCCCUUAUGACCUGGGCUACACACGUGCUACAAUGGACGGUACAAACGGUUGCCAACCCGCGAGGGGAGCUAAUCCGAUAAAACCGUUCUCAGUUCGGAUUGUAGGCUGCAACUCGCCUACAUGAAC